UACGUAGGGAGCGAGCGUUGUCCGGAUUUAUUGGGCGUAAAGAGCUCGUAGGCGGUUCGGUAAGUCGGGUGUGAAAACCCCCAGCUCAACCUGGGGACGCCACCCGAUACUGCUGUGACUUGAGUCUGGUAGGGGAGCACGGAAUUCCUGGUGUAGCGGUGAAAUGCACAGAUAUCAGGAGGAACACCGGUGCGAAGGCGGUGCUCUGGGCCGUAC
rnacentral:rRNA from 1 species